UACGAAGGGGGCUAGCGUUGCUCGGAAUCACUGGGCGUAAAGCGCACGUAGGCGGAUCUUUUAAGUCGGAGGUGAAAUCCCAAGGCUCAACCUUGGAACUGCCUUUGAUACUGGGGAUCUCGAGUCCGGAAGAGGUUGGUGGAACUGCGAGUGUAGAGGUGAAAUUCGUAGAUAUUCGCAAGAACACCAGUGGCGAAGGCGGCCAACUGGUCCGGUACUGACGCUGAGGUGCGAAAGCGUGGGGAGCAAACGGG
rnacentral:rRNA from 1 species